CCUGUCAGCCCCCUGUCCCCCCAAAACAGGACUUCUGUCUUGUCAGGAUUCAACCUCAAUCUGUUAGCCAUCAUCCAUCCUCCAACCGCCUCCAAGCACUCACACAGGACCUUCACCGCCUUCACUGGUUCUGAUUUAAAGGAGAGGUAGAGCUGGGUGCCAUCUGCAUACUGAUGAACACCCAGCCCAAACCCCCUGAUGAUCUCUCCCAGCGGCUUCAUAUAGAUAUUAAAAAGCAUGGGGGAGAGGACGGAACCCUGAGGCACCCCACAAGUGAGAGCCCAGGGGUCUGAACACUCAUCCCCCAACACCACUUUCUGGACACGGCCCAGGAGAAAGGAGCGGAACCACCCUCUAGCCCGUGUCCGGUCUGAUUCGGAGUGAGUUUUCCGCCACCGGCGCUCUAGCCGUCUCAAUGAUUCACCCUCAACUCUGGGGAAAACCACGGGGCUGUCCAGGCUCCAUGCAAUUGGAGAGGGCGCUUCGGAGCCAGACAGUCAAUAGCACUGGUUAACUCCGCAUUCCAACGGGCCACCAGGGAAUCAGCCGAGAGGCCAUCAACUUGGGAUAAAACAUCCCCUACCACUCUCUGGAAACUAGUUGGAUCCAUUAAGUAGCGGGGGCGGACCAUCCGAAUCGGUCCCACCUCCCUGCAGAGGGGAAGGGUCACGGAGAAGUCCAGUUGCACUAGGAAGUGAUCUGACCAUGGCACUUCUUUUGUUUCGCUUUUAGUUAGUGUCAGAUCACCAACAUCCAUAGAGGUAAACACCAAGUCUAAGGCCAAGGGGAACCCAAGAGGGAUCUGGUUCUGCCUACUCACCUGGGAACGCUGGUCCAGAGUCCGCAAGGCUCUUCUUUUCUGAGGGCCGCUGCUGGCUUGGGUCUUGCUUGCUGGUCUGGGGCUUCAUCAGCCCUGGCAAGACUAGGGGCCUGGCCUCUGCCGGUCUGGCCUCUGCCGCUGAUGGUGUAGGCUUUGCCAAUGCCGGCAGUAGGGCAGGGGCCUCGUCCUCAUAUGAGGGGUAGAUCUUGUUUUUGGGUGCAACUUGAUUUUUCCUCCUGCCCUCUGUGGCUGAUGUUGAAGGCUUCGCCAAUGCCGGCAGUAGGGCAGGGGCCUCAUCCUCGUAUGAGGGGUAGAUCUUGUUUUUCUUUUUUCUUUUUAGAAAAAAAGCCAUCCUGCAAGAUGCAAAAAGAUUAGGAAUUAUUGGGAAAUUAUAUAUAAUGAAUUGAAAAAACUGUUUAAAAAGACUUUUGUUAAGAAACCAGAAGCAUUCCUUCUAGGAAUUUUAGACCAAGAUGUAAAAAAAGAAAAUUGGAAAUUAUUUAUGUAUGCAACAACAGCGGCAAGAAUUUUAUUAGCACAAACUUGGAAGACAGAAGAAAUACCAACGAAAGAACAAUGGCAAGGGAAACUUAUGGAAUAUGCAGAACCGGCAAAACUAACAGAAUAAUUACAUGAAAAGGACAACAAAGACUUUAAAAGAGAAUGGGAACCAUUUACAACAUAUAUGAAGAGGCAACAUAAAGAAAUGGACUCAUUGGCAGGGUUUGAGUGAACAAUCACAACUGUCUACAACAAAAAAAUAAGACUAUAUGUAUUGAGGAAAUUUUGGGGAAACAUCAAAUACGCAAGGUGAACAAUAGGGAAAUAAAACAAAAUGUGAGUACGAGGGAAGUCCAGGAGAGGAGGGUCGAAAUAUGAAAAAUUGUUAAAGAUAUAUUGUUAGAAGUAGAAUCCAUAGAAAAAUCAAUAAAAAAUUAUUUCAAAAAAUAAACAGAAUCUCUGGAUAAGAAAUUGUCAUUUUUAGGUAAUCUAUUAAGACUGGAAUAUGAUAUUUCAGUUUUGAUUGCUGGAAAUUUAGCAAUUGGGAAAUAUUAUCCUGGAUAUUGACAGAAUCUGGGAAUGAUUCAAAGUAUUUGGUAUUGUAUUUUUAUUUGUAAACAUUGAAAUGAGGAAGUCUUUUUACUCAGAGUGAGAAGGAUGACCAAAUAUUUGACAGACCUGGAAAUAGCAAGCUCAUGUAGAUCAAAGGGGGGAGGAAGUGGAUUCCGCAGAAGAAUAUUGUAAAAUUUGUGGAGGAAAAUGAUCUGACAUGAUCUACUAUUCCAGCCUGGUUAUCUCUUCCUAAUUCUGGGUGCUGUGUUUUAUUAUCUUCAAUAUCUCUUGUGAAAAGGUCUUUUAAUGUACGGUCAGUAAAAGCCUGGAUGUAAGGCC